rnacentral:ncRNA from 2 species
AUCGUUCAUCUCUGUUAGUAGAGACGGAAGUAAGGAAAAAUUUUCCUGAAGGAACGCGCC